GGUGAGUGGGAGGCUCGGAUGACCAGCGGCGAGAAAUCUUUUACAAAAACUGGCUGCAUGCGAAGAUCAUCCUUUUCUCAGGUCCGCCAGUGGAUCUUAAAAGCGUGGAGCAGUGUGAAAGAGUCGCCGAUCACCAACGGAUUUCGAAAGGCUGGACUGCUACGUGUGGAGAAGAGCGCAACUUCUGCGGCAGCGACAGUUGUGUGACGGAGAUGUUCAGAGGCUCUUCAACUUCAGUUGAUUCGGUGAACAGGAGGAGGAUGAAUAAAAACAAUGACCUUUCUGUUAUGUCUGAGCCGUUUUACAGGCACUGUUUGGAAACAAUUAAGCAGGUACUUGGUGCGGUCCAGCCCGCUCCUGAGCAGCUCAAAGGCCCUGAACUCCUACCGGAGCAGACGGACGCAAGAAGUCGAUGCUGACCAAAUGAUAGAAGAUUGCCACGAAGGAUGACAGAUAAGAUUACUGUACCAGAUGAUGGAUGACAUAUAUAUCUAUUGUGCGCCAAAGAGGCUCUUUAAUAGUAAUGCCAAAGUACUCUUAAUAGCAUUGACUGCCUACCUUUGUCUCAUUGUUGACAUACGGUGCACGUAGUACAAUUCAUAUUUAAUUAAGUUUUCAGAAGGAAAAAAAAAAAAAAAACUUUUAAUGUCUCACAGAAAUUGUUUUGCAGAUAUUUAUUUCACUUAGCAUGUAUUUCCAAAGUUAGUUUUGAAUUUCUCAUUCAUUUUUAUUUUGUUUUGACUUUUUGUUUUUCAAAUUUUGGUAGUUAUAGUUUAGUUUUUGUUAGUUAGUGUUAAUUUUAUUUGUUUAAUACAGGGUAUGUGCCAGGUGUGAGAUUAGAAAAGGUUACAAUAAGUAUUGUGUAAUAAAACAAAAAUACAAUAAAAAACAAAACAAAACAUCAGUUAGGACAGAUGAACAAAUCACACAACAAUCAAAUACAAAAACUAGCAGAAGAAAAAGUAAAUAAAUUUCAAAUUAACCCCAAAAGCUUACGUAUGAAAUAAAUCGACAAAGACAAAAACAAAGGACAUUUUCAGUAGAAUUGUAGUUAGUUUUUUAUUAGUUUUGUGAAAAAACAAUGCCGUUUCAAUUAGUUACCGCUUUAAAACCUGAUAUUUUUAUUUCAGUUUUUCAAUUUCAGUUUUUGUUAUUUAUUUUGUUUUUGUUUACUAAAAUAACCUCGUAUAGCACAGCAUAGCUCGUUAUUCACUCAUGAACUGUGUCAUCUUUUCUCACCAUCACUACCCACUCUUUCCACAAACUACCGUGACACACUCCGUUUGUACAGUAAAAUACAAAUACAUACUCUGUUCGAGUGUGUUAGAGUGUCCGGAACUUGCCCGACUUCCAACGUGUUGGCAUUUCCCUCCCUUGUAAUCGACGUGACAAGCCGAGAUUCACCUCAGAAUCUUCAUCUUCAAUUCAAAAGCUGUGCUGGUCUCAAAUUUAUUGAUUUAAGCCUUAGAGUGGUAUAAGAUUUUAUUUUUUGGCAAUUAACAAUGUUUAAAAAAAAACGAUAUAAAUUCUUCAUAAAAUAUUUUUUUAAUUUGCCUUUUAUUACUAAUUACUGUUGCUGUGGUUUAUUUGUUUUUACACUUGUAUGACAGUUAAAAAAGUACAAAAAUGAGAUGUACAGCUUCACAUCUUUUAAAAAUUUUUUUUUUACUUUGAUUAUAAGCAGUUCAUUUUUUUUACGCUUGUUUAACAGUUACUAAUCUUGAAGUGAUAAAACAUUGCCUGUGAAUUUCACAGACCUCAGAAUGGAUUAUUUAAAUUUCCAAUAUUUCCAAUGAAAAAAAUUGUGGUUGAUGGAAUUGCAUUUGACCACAGAGGUUCCACUCUAAAAAAAAAAAAAAAAGGUGGUUAAAAAGAUCCUUCUGCCUUCACGUCUCAGUGCACACUGCUCAUGAUGAAGUGCUACAGAAUUGAUGGCUAUCGCUGAUUGACCCCACCGACGUGAUACGAUCACGUUGCUUACCCGAGAUAAGGUGCGAGUGUGGAUAUCAGCAGAAAAAUCACAUUAUCUGUGUAAGUGAAGUAGGAAAGUAAGCAUGAAUGUGGGAGCGGGGGGAGACUCACACACACACACACAAGUAAAUAUUACUUGGAAAGGAGAAUAUAUGCAGAGCGACCAGUACCACACACUGGGUAAUACAUAAUUAAUGUGUUACUAUUUUUGUCUCAAUAUCAAACCAAUCAAAACCGCCAAUAUUUAUGAGGUCUCCUUUUUAUCCUCAGGGCUCCAGGCUGGAUGAAGGUGAAAUCAACUAAUGAUGUGGCGAUGAUGGAAAAGAUGAGAGUCUGCGAAAUGGGAGCCCGCAAGGCACUUUGUCUCCGAAAGUGUGCAGUAGUAGUAUGUGUGUAUGUGCACAUAUGGCAAAGACUCUCGUAACUUGUUUCGCUAACAACCCAGGCAACUUAGCUCGUUACUGACUAUACAAACCUGUCUCUCAGUUGAGAUGUAUCACUUCGCCAUUCAGUGGUACCUUGACGACAGAGUGUCCCAAACUCCAAUCAUCAGAACCUCUUUUUUUUUUUCCUCUGGUCAAACUGUGUGACCCGGUCAUUAGGCACCACUUCUGUAGAGUGCUAUUUUUCUUAUUAAAAACAUGUUAUAGAAAUUUCUGUUAGCGUUUUAUGGGGGUUACAACGGCAUAAAGGCAAUUACGUUCAUUUCAAUGGAAAAUGAGGAUUUGUGAUACGUGUGAUUGAAGUUACAAGCAUAGUCACAGAAUGAACUGAACUUGUUAGUCAGAGGACCCCUGUACUUCCUUGACAACAGUUAGUACUUUCUUAUAAAAGCGUUAAAUUAAAACUUUCUUAGCGCAUUCCAGAAAGAGCGCUAAAAUAGGCGCAUAAUUUUCAGCAAAUAGCUGUCUCUUUUGCUCCAGAAUUAAAACUCGUACAGCCAAUUCAUCUUAUGUUGUUCUGUGUGAACCAGGAGCUAGUCUACUAUGGUAAGCAACGAGUCUCAGCACAUUCCGUGUUGUGACAUUUGUACAUGGCGGAGAAAUACGCAAAUUCAGCAGCCUCCCUCUCGUGAGUGGGCGUAUUGCUGUUGCAUGGGCGAGGCCGAGGGAGGAGGGGAGGAGGAGAGGAGACGUGAUGGGGCGGAUAAAUCAAGGUCACCAGACAUGUUGGGAUAUUACCUCCAGUCAAUAACGCCUUUAUUGCUUUUUUGCAGGGCCUCCUCGCUGUUCCCAUAAAUCUGAUAUGCUAUUGUUAUCUCUAGGAAUACUCGAUGUGCUGAGACGAAAUGAUAAGAGUGAAAAAUAGAGGGAAAUGACAGCACUUUGAGAGACCUCUGGCAAAGCUUCAAUAGAAGUAACUCUGGAUGUGGACGCAAAGUGUCUUUACUGUUUUUUAGCCACAAGAGAUGUGACACAUGAGCAUCUAAGCAUGAGUUUUCUUGUUAUAAUUAUUCAAAUAGCGCAAUAUGUAUCAGAUAAUUAAACUUGA